rfam:Ornithorhynchus anatinus chromosome X1, whole genome shotgun sequence.
GGGAGCGUGGCUUAGUGGCAAGAGCACGGGUUUGGGAGUCAGAGGUUGUGGGUUCUAAUCCCAGCUCUGCCA